UUAACUUUAUAUGUAUAGAUAUAUAUAUUUUUAUGCCCCCCUUCGAAGAAGAGGGGGUAUAGUGCUUUGCUCAUGUCGGUCUGACGGUCGGUCUGUCGGUCGGUCCGUCCACCAGGUGGUUGUCAGACGAUAACUCAAGAACGCUUGGGCCUAGGAUCAUGAAACUUCAUAGGUACAUUGAUCAUGACUCGCAGAUGACCCCUAUUGAUUUUGAGGUCACUAGGUCAAAGGUCAAGGUCACGGUGACCCGAAAUAGUAAAAUGGUUUCUGGAUGAUAACUCAAGAACGCAUAUGCCUAGGAUCAUGAAACUUCAUGGGUAGAUUGAUCAUGACUCGCAGAUGACCCCUAUUGAUUUUGAGGUCACUAGGUCAAAGGUCAAGGUCACUGUGACCAGAAAUAGUAAAAUGGUUUUUGGAUGAUAACUCAAGAACGCAUACGCCUAGGAUCAUGAAACUUCAUAGGUAGAUUGAUCAUGACUUGCAGAUUACCCCUAUUGAUUUUGAGGUCACAAGGUCAAAGGUCAAGGUCAUGGUGACCCGAAAUAGCAAAAUGAUUUUUGGAUGAUAACUCAAGAACGCUUUUGUCUAGGAUCAUGACACUUCAUAGGUACAUUGAUCGUGACCCGCAGAUGACCCCUAUUGAUCUUCAGGUCACUAGGUCAAAGGUCAAGGUCACAGUGACAAAACUGGAAACUGAACGGUUAUCUCCUUGAA